UGGGGAAUAUUGGACAAUGGGCGAAAGCCUGAUCCAGCCAUGCCGCGUGUGUGAAGAAGGUCUUCGGAUUGUAAAGCACUUUAAGUUGGGAGGAAGGGCAGUAAGUUAAUACCUUGCUGUUUUGACGUUACCGACAGAAUAAGCACCGGCUAACUCUGUGCCAGCAGCCGCGGUAAUACAGAGGGUGCAAGCGUUAAUCGGAAUUACUGGGCGUAAAGCGCGCGUAGGCGGUUUGUUAAGUUGGAUGUGAAAGCCCCGGGCUCAACCUGGGAACUGCAUCCAAAACUGGCAAGCUAGAGUACGGUAGAGGGUGGUGGAAUUUCCUGUGUAGCGGUGAAAUGCGUAGAUAUAGGAAGGAACACCAGUGGCGAAGGCGACCACCUGGACUGAUACUGACACUGAGGUGCGAAAGCGUGGGGAGCAAACA
rnacentral:rRNA from 1 species